CAGACAUCACAGCGCUGAUGCUUCCCAGGUGCUGUGGGUCUCUCAAACCUGGGCCAGAGUGUCUAUCACAAGGCAGAUGUCCUCCCAGGACAGAGAGAAAUUGAGAGAAGGGAAAAUAGAGGGAGACACCUGCAGCACUGCAUCAGUACUCAUGAAGCUGUUCCCCUGCAGUUAGAAGGUGAGCAGCAGAGAAGGAAAGACAGGAGAAGAAGAGAUACUGAAGCACUGCUCCAUUGCUCAUGAAGCUUUCCUCCUGCAGGCACUCCUAUGUGGUAGCUGAUCACCCAUGUCCUCAUGCAUGAUCAUCAGUGUGCUCUACUGGGUCACUUUUCUGCAGACCUCCCCAGCUCUCAAAAAAGUUGAGCAGCAGCAGCAGCUUUAGAAUGGGUUGCCUACAGAAAGACCUGGGUACAGUGCCCCCUGCUGAAACAAAGAAGUUGUGAGGAAAAGGGAAGCACCUGCAGCCCUGCCUCAUCACUCAUGAAGCUUCCCCGCUGCAGGUGGGGACCAGGAGCUUGAACCCAGGCCCUUACACACUGUAAAGUAUGUAUUUUACCAAGUAUACCCCUCUCUUCUGUUUAAGAUUUUAAGGGAGUUGGGCGGUAGCGCAGUGGGUUGAGCGCAGGUGGUACAAAGCACAAAGAUUGGCGUAAGGGUCCCUGUUUGAGCCCCCGGCUCCCCACC